rnacentral:misc_RNA from 1 species
GCAACUUUUUGGAGUCGAUGGAUAAAGCCAGAAGCAACUGCACACGCUGAAGACGCUUUGGCUCCUCGAGCUGCUCGAAAUAAAAAGAGUUAUGCAGAAGCUAGCCCGCUGGUGGUUACUAAUAAAAGAAAGAAGGGUGGUGAUGCUCAGGAAAGGUUCCCAAAGCGUCGCAAGGGAGAUUUUAGCUGCACACUUCCGGCAAUUGAUGGUGCUUCCGCUCAAGUGAGAGGAUGGUCUUUUGGGAACUUGUCAAAAAGAGACGCCACACGUUUUUCUCGUGAGGUCAAGAAGUUUGGGAAUGAUAGCCAAAUUGACUUAAUAUCAUCAGAGGUUGGUGGGGCAGUUGAAGCUGCACCAACUGAAGCUCAAGUUGAGCUUUUUGACUCAUUGAUUGAUGGCUGUAGAGAAGCAGUUAAAGGUGAAGUUGUUGAUCCAAAGGGACCUCUUUUAGAUUUUUUUGGUGUUCCUGUGAAGGCUGAUGAACUAUUGGCCCGUGUUGAGGAACUUCAACUCCUAGCAAAGCGCAUUUCUCGAUAUGCAGAUCCUGUCUCACAGUUCCGUGCUUUGGCUUAUCUAAAGCCUGCAACUUGGUCUAAAGGUUGUGGCUGGAACCAGAAGGAUGACGCCAGACUGCUUCUUGGAAUUCAUUAUCACGGAUUUGGCAACUGGGAAAAGAUACGAUUAGAUGAAAAACUUGGCCUCAUGAAGAAGAUUGCUCCAGUGGAAUUACAACAUCAUGAGACUUUCUUGCCAAGAGCUCCACAAUUGAAGGAGAGAGCUUCUCAACUUCUGCAAAUGGAAGUUGCAGCUGUUGGUGGGAAGAACACUAGUUUAAAAGUGGGUCGUAAAACUUCCAACAAGCAGAAGGAAAGCCUUCCCAGCACAACAGCAUCUCUUGGAAAGGGUAAACAAAGUAAAUUAAGCUCAUCUGGAAAUGCUAAAAUGGGUAGAGGCAGAGCUGCAAAAGGUCAAAAAAAGGUUGAGCCGUUGAUAAAAGAGGAAGGUGAAAUGUCAGAUAAUGAAGA